rnacentral:tRNA from 1 species
CGGGAGGUGGCUCAUUGGGUGAGCCCCUGGUUUGGGACCGGGGGGUCGCAGGUUCGAAUCCUGUCUUCCCGA